GCUGUUAAGGGUUCGUAGUUGGAGUCAGAGAUGUAGGUGAUGCCGGUGGGCUCCGGUCCAUACCGGCUAUUGCCUUGCUCGUUGAAUACGGAACAGAGCGCCUGCGGACUCCCCCUCAGGGGUGAUGCAUCCACCGCAUAUAUCGUGCAGGGCGCAUCCGUAGUAUCACUGUGAACAAACAGCGUGUCCAAAGCAGUCCUAUGACUGAAUGUAAAAGCAUGGAAUGACAAGGGAUCGCCAUUGGUGCCACCCCCCUUGUUGGUUUAUGAGGCCCAAAGGAGAGACGAGUUUGCGCGUCUAGCGUGUUCAGAACGGAAGGGAAACCGACCGGGACGUCACGUAAGGCCGCUGCUCGCUGGGAUCAACAGGGGCUGUCGGGGGAAGACGUAUGGGAAUGCGAGAGGUGAAAUUCUGUGCCAUUCCCAGACGAACCGAUGCGAAGGCUUCUUCCAAGUAUGCCUUCAUUAAUCAAGACCAAAGCGUGGAGAUCGAAGAUGAUUAGAUACCAUUGUAGUCC
rnacentral:rRNA from 1 species